AUUGAACGCUGGCGGCAGGCUUAACACAUGCAAGUCGAGCGGGGGGAGGUAGCUUGCUACCGGACCUAGCGGCGGACGGGUGAGUAAUGCUUAGGAAUCUGCCUAUUAGUGGGGGACAACAUCUCGAAAGGGAUGCUAAUACCGCAUACGUCCUACGGGAGAAAGCAGGGGAUCUUCGGACCUUGCGCUAAUAGAUGAGCCUAAGUCGGAUUAGCUAGUUGGUGGGGUAAAGGCCUACCAAGGCGACGAUCUGUAGCGGGUCUGAGAGGAUGAUCCGCCACACUGGGACUGAGACACGGCCCAGACUCCUACGGGAGGCAGCAGUGGGGAAUAUUGGACAAUGGGGGGAACCCUGAUCCAGCCAUACCGCGUGUGUGAAGAAGGCCUUAUGGUUGUAAAGCACUUUAAGCGAGGAGGAGGCUACUCUAGUUAAUACCUAGAGAUAGUGGACGUUACUCGCAGAAUAAGCACCGGCUAACUCUGUGCCAGCAGCCGCCGUAA
rnacentral:rRNA from 1 species